ensembl:misc_RNA
UUGACCUUUUCCAUUUUUAUUCACUCACAGAGGGUGGGCCAGGAGGAGAGUGAAGGAAAAGGUUAA